AUUGAACGCUGGCGGCAUGCUUUACACAUGCAAGUCGAACGGUGACAGGCCGCAAGGUGCUGACGAGUGGCGAACGGGUGAGUAAUGCAUCGGAACGUGCCCAGUCGUGGGGGAUAACGCAGCGAAAGCUGUGCUAAUACCGCAUACGAUCUAUGGGUGAAAGCGGGGGACCGUAAGGCCUCGCGCGAUUGGAGCGGCCGAUGUCAGAUUAGGUAGUUGGUGGGGUAAAGGCCUACCAAGCCGACGAUCUGUAGCUGGUCUGAGAGGACGACCAGCCACACUGGGACUGAGACACGGCCCAGACUCCUACGGGAGGCAGCAGUGGGGAAUUUUGGACAAUGGGCGCAAGCCUGAUCCAGCAAUGCCGCGUGCAGGAAGAAGGCCUUCGGGUUGUAAACUGCUUUUGUACGGAACGAAACGGUCCGGGUUAAUACCCUGGGCUAUGACGGUACCGUAAGAAUAAGCACCGGCUAACUACGUGCCAGCCGCCGCAGUAAUAC
rnacentral:rRNA from 1 species